rnacentral:rRNA from 1 species
GGUCUGUAGCAAUACAGAUGCUGGCGACCGGCAAACGGGUGCGGAACACGUACAGAACCUUCCUUCGAGCGGGGAAUAGCCCAGGGAAAUUUGGAUUAAUACCCCAUAGUAUAUUGGAGUGGCAUCACUUUGAUAUUAAAGAUUUAUCACUUGAAGAUGGCUGUGCGGCUGAUUAGAUAGUUGGCGGGGUAACGGCCCACCAAGUCUGCGAUCAGUAACUGGUGUGAGAGCACGACCAGUCACACGGGCACUGAGACACGGGCCCGACUCCUACGGGAGGCAGCAGUAAGGAAUAUUGGUCAAUGGACGAAAGUCUGAACCAGCCAUGCCGCGUGGAGGAUGAAGGUCCUCUGGAUUGUAUACUUCUUUUAUAUGGGACGAAAAAAGGGUUUUCUAACUCGUCUGACGGUACCAUAUGAAUAAGCACCGGCUAACUCCGUGCCAGCAGCCGCGGUAAUACGGAGGGUGCAAGCGUUAUCCGGAUUCACUGGGUUUAAAGGGUGCGUAGGUGGGUUGGUAAGUCAGUGGUGAAAUCCCCGAGCUUAACUUGGGAACUGCCAUUGAUACUAUCAGUCUUGAAUACCGUGGAGGUCAGCGGAAUAUGUCAUGUAGCGGUGAAAUGCUUAGAUAUGACAUAGAACACCAAUUGCGAAGGCAGCUGGCUACACGAAUAUUGACACUGAGGCACGAAAGCGUGGGGAUCAAACAGGAUUAGAUACCCUGGUAGUCCACGCCCUAAACUAUGGAUACUCGACAUACGCGAUACACAGUGUGUGUCUGAGCGAAAGCA